UGAGUAAUAUGUAGGAAAUCUGCCCUCAAGAGGGGGACAACAGUUGGAAACGACUGCUAAUACCCCAUAUGAGCUUAGUUGAAAUACUAAUCUUGAAAUGAUUUUUCGCUUGAGGAUGAGCCUGCAUCUGAUUAGCUUGUUGGUGGUGUAAUGGACUACCAAGGCGACGAUCAGUAGCUGGUUUGAGAGGAUGAUCAGCCACAAUGGGACUGAGACACGGCCCAUACUCCUACGGGAGGCAGCAGUAGGGAAUUUUGCGCAAUGGGCGAAAGCCUGACGCAGCAAACCGCCGCGUGAGUGAUGAAGCCCCUCGGGGUGUAAAACUCUGUCAGUAGGGACAAAUUCUGAUGGUACCUACAGAGGAAGCAUCGGCUAACUACGUGCCAGCAGCAGC
rnacentral:rRNA from 1 species